GCUCCCGACGCCCCCCGCCCCCGACUCCGGGCCGGCAGGGCUGGCUGCAGCGGCCGGCGCACUCACCCGCUCCCCGGCUUGCGCGCAGGCACACUCAAGAGAGAGCAGCGAGCUCGCCGCGCCGCCGCCGCCCCCCGCCCCCGGCCCUGCGCCCGCCCCUCCUCCCCUCCCUCGCGGCGGCCCGGCCCGCUGCUGCAGCCGCCGUGCUCAUCAGACAACAGAUAUUUAUUGAAUGUUCUUUGUCAUGCUUCUUCAAGAUGUGCCCUGGCCAUUCAUGCAAGUUUCAAGGACUCUGAAUCUAUUGAGA
rnacentral:antisense_RNA from 1 species